ACGGCGAGUGAAGCGGCAACAGCUCAAAUUUGAAAUCUGGCCGUUUACGGUCCGAGUUGUAAUUUGUAGAGGAUGUUUUGGGUACCGCCACGGUUUAAAUUUCUUGGAACAGAAUGUCAGAGAGGGUGAGAGUCCCGUCUUGGACCGCGGUAGGGCCUGUGUAAAACUCCUUCGACGAGUCGACUUGUUUGGGAAUGCAGGUCAAAAUGGGUGGUAAAUUUCAUCUAAAGCUAAAUAUUGGCCAGAGACCGAUAGCGCACAAGUAGAGUGAUCGAAAGAUGAAAAGCACUUUGAAAAGAGAGUUAAACAGUAUGUGAAAUUGUUGAAAGGGAAGCGCUGGCAACCCAGACUCGUGCGCGGGGUUCCCCCUUGCUUCUGCUUGGGUCACUUCCCCGUGUCCGGGCCAUCAUCAGUUUCGGGGACCGGUUAAAGGCCUUGGGAAUGUAUCCACGCCUUUCGGGGGUGGACUUAUAGCCCAGGGUGUCAUGCGGCCACCCGGGACUGAGGAACGCGCUUCGGCGAGGAUGAUGGCGUAAUGGUUGUCAGCGGCCCGUCUUGAAACACGGACCAAGGAGUCUAACAUCUAUGCGAGUGUUCGGGUGUCAAACCCUUGCGCGGAAUGAAAGUGAACGGAGGUAGGAAGGCUUAAGCCUGCACUAUCGACCGAUCCUGAUGUCUUCGGAUGGAUUUGAGUAAGAGCAUAGCUGUUGGGACCCGAAAGAUGGUGAACUAUGCGUGAAUAGGGUGAAGCCAGAGGAAACUCUGGUGGAGGCUCGCAGCGGUUCUGACGUGCAAAUCGAUCGUCAAAUUUGCGUAUAGGGGCGAAAGAC
rnacentral:rRNA from 1 species